UUGAAUCAUUCGAUUAUUAGGUAGGUAUUUGAAAUUUGAACAGAAAUACAGACUCCGUCGUUCAGAGUUGUAUUCAUACAUUUAGUAAAAAAUUGCCAUGCAAAAGUGUACUCUUUUUAGUAAAACAUCCAAAGUAUCGCCUCGCCACAUUACGUUAAUUAUCAUUAAUUUCCAAAAUAGAAAAUACAAGUAACUAAUGGCUACAAAUCUUCUAAUUAAAUGAUUAUCCGAUUUCUAUCUGGUACAGAAUCUGCGGUAAUUAUUUCACAACCAGUGAUUAUAGACAAGGCUCAGUAAAUCAUCUAAGAGAAAAUUGUAUUUCUUUGACGAUGGGUUGAAAGAACAUGAACAGACAAACAAAGGAUUUGGAGACGUUACAGUUGAUGAUUUUAAUUCACCCAGAAAAGCCUCAGAAACCGAAAAAUGUCUAAUUCACACAUACCUAUAUUUUACACACAAAUUUCCCGUGUCUUAUUCUAAACAAUUGGAUCAAAAGACAUCUCCAGCUGUUAUCACACAUAUAACUUGUGAAGACACGACUAUUGUACAAGAUUUUUUUGUCAAACGCUUAUUCUGUCAAAAUGGUUGGCAGGAUCUGUGAAAAGGUAUAUAUUGAAGAUGUUGCUGAUAGGUUGUUAAAAGAAGUUGAGUGGUCUACAUACGUACAUACACGGAUUACUGGUUGUCAAUACUGUUCCCAUUCAUGGAACUUACCUCUCAACAAGGAUAGACAAAUUUCUUUGAAAGAAAAGCCAUGGGAGAACACCAAGAGUCAACCAAAAAUUGGAGAAAUACCCGAUUGACAAUAAUCUUUAGAGCCUAUUAACUUGAGAGCUGUGUUGUUAUAUUUUUAAGCCGUAUACUCUAAUAAUGUACAUCAUAAAAAUGAUAAUUCCAAUUUUAGUAAACAGCAAAAAUCAUUCUUUUUGGACAAUGAUACUCUGUAUCAUAAAAUACAUUGUGCCAGUUUGAUAUUGAAUAACAGAUGUCAGAUGAAUAUAUUCAAAAUUGUUUAUGAAGGUUCCACUGAGGAUGCAUUUGCCUUUUCUAGUCAUCGUGGUGGGAAGGCAACACUUCAUCUAAUAAACCAGCAGUAUUAUAUUAUAUUUGAUGACUUUGGAUACAAAGCAAUACAUUAAAAAAUGUAAUAUUUGUCAAUGUGUCAAUCCAGUUACAACACUAAAAGUGAUACCUGAACUACACCCAGUUCCUCUACCAAAAAAGGUUUUCAAGCAUUUUGGAACCACCUAAUUACCUACAGUAUGCAGCAGUUGCCAUUGAUUAUUGCAGUAAAAGGUGUGAGGUGUUGCCAUUGUCCGAACAAGAGCAACUACUGUAGCUUAUUAUAUUUAUGGUGAAAUAAUAAUAAUUAUUAUUUGUUGACAUUCCUACCAAAAAUUGUGAUUAGCGACCAGUGUCAGGAAUUUUGUAAUAAUUGACUGGAACUAUUCAUAAAGUUAGUUCACCAUACUAUCCACAAAGAUUCAAUCGCGCCAUUUUAAAUUAUUUGCUCAAUGUAUGUUAACUCUUUUUGUAUAAUAAAUAUAAAAUAAUAUAUUAUUAAAACUACAAUAAUAUCAGUUUUAGAUAUUUUGAAAAUAAAAUUUA